UUUAAUACGGCCACAUGGUGUUCCUGUCCAAACUUUACCCCCGCUUACGCAGCUUCUUAAUAUUAUCAAUUCUGGGGUGACCCCUGAAGCAGCAAUCAAUGAGGAAAACGGGGUGAAGAAAGAAGUUAAUGGUCAUCCUCCAAGUGAAGCUGGGGGUGGCUCUAUUGAUGAAUCCAAUCCAGGUCCACAGGAUCAGACCCCUGUUGGAUUAGGCACAGGUUUGAAGCAGAAGGCCAAGGCAAAGGUUCCAUCAUGAUUUUAAAUGCAAAAUCUGCAGUCAAGGACAAUGCCCAGCGCCUUUUUAGUUGCUGUCAAACCGCAUUCUAUUUGGAUUUGAAGGAGGUGAUACUCGACCACUUUUGGAGUUAACACAAGCCAUCUGCAUACUCUGUUCUCUCCGAAGCUCAUGAGCUAUAAGACCUCUGGAAAAUAACCCCAUUUUUUGAAUAAUCAAGCUCAGGAAAGAUAUAAUUUCUGAAGAGAUCUGAGUCAAAGCGUUCUUGAUCUAGUGAGGUUCAAAUUGUUUUAGGCAAAAUUACAAGGGAAGGUGUUUAUGAGCAAAUGUAGAAGUAGAGACUAUCUAAUUCAUCUUUAGAAGUUUCAAGAGCAAUUAUCUUGCUGUCUGUUUACAUUUUUUUU